GCUGUAGCUCAGUGAUACAGCAUCUGCUCUGCAUGCAGAAAGUCCUAGGUUCAGUCCCUGGCAUCUCCA